rnacentral:tRNA from 1 species
GCGGGCAUGAUGAAAUUGGUAGACAUGCGAGAUUUAGGUUCUCGUGCUUCGGCGUUGGGGUUCGAGUCCCCAUGCCCGCACCA